UACGUAGGGGGCAAGCGUUGUCCGGAUUAUUGGGCGUAAAGAGCUCGUAGGCGGCUCGGUAAGUCGGAUGUGAAACCUCCAGGCUCAACCUGGAGACGCCAUCUGAUACUGCCGUGGCUUGAGUCCGGUAGAGGAGCAGGGAAUUCCUGGUGUAGCGGUGAAAUGCGCAGAUAUCAGGAGGAACACCAGCGGCGAAGGCGCUGCUCUGGGCCGGUACUGACGCUGAGGAGCGAAAGCGUGGGGAGCGAACAGG
rnacentral:rRNA from 1 species